UACGAAGGGGGCUAGCGUUGCUCGGAAUCACUGGGCGUAAAGGGUGCGUAGGCGGGUCUUUUAAGUCAGGGGGUGAAAUCCUGGAGCUCAACUCCAGAACUGCCUUUGAUACUGAAGAUCUUGAGUUCGGGAGAGGUGAGUGGAACUGCGAGUGUAGAGGUGAAAAUUCGUAGAUAUUCGCAAGAACACCAGUGGCGAAGGCGGCUCACUGGCCCGAUACUGACGCUGAGGCACGAAAGCGUGGGGAGCAAACAGGG
rnacentral:rRNA from 1 species